UGGGGAAUAUUGGACAAUGGGGGGAACCCUGAUCCAGCCAUGCCGCGUGUGUGAAGAAGGCCUUAUGGUUGUAAAGCACUUUAAGCGAGGAGGAGGGUACUGGUAUUAAUACUACCAGCUACUGGACGUUACUCGCAGAAUAAGCACCGGCUAACUCUGUGCCAGCAGCCGCGGUAAUACAGAGGGUGCGAGCGUUAAUCGGAUUUACUGGGCGUAAAGCGUGCGUAGGCGGCUAAUUGAGUCGGAUGUGAAAUCCCCGAGCUUAACUUGGGAAUUGCAUUCGAUACUGGUUAGCUAGAGUGUGGGAGAGGAUGGUGGAAUUCCAGGUGUAGCGGUGAAAUGCGUAGAGAUCUGGAGGAAUACCGAUGGCGAAGGCAGCCAUCUGGCCUAACACUGACGCUGAGGUACGAAAGCAUGGGGAGCAAACAGG
rnacentral:rRNA from 1 species